GACGAACGCUGGCGGCGUGCCUAACACAUGCAAGUGGAGCGACGAACCAGGGCUUGCCCUGGGGCCAAGCCGCGAACGGGUGAGUAACACGUGGAUAACCUGCCCCGAUGACCGGGACAACCCGAGGAAACUCGGGCUAAUACCGGAUGUGGUGGACACACUUAAGUGUGUCCACUAAAGGAAGCUUCGGCCUCCGCAUUGGGAUGGGCCCGCGGCCCAUUAGCUAGUUGGUGGGGUAAAGGCCUACCAAGGCAACGAUGGGUAGCUGGUCUGAGAGGACGAUCAGCCACACUGGGACUGAGACACGGGCCCAGACUCC
rnacentral:rRNA from 1 species